AGCUAGAGUCGGCGCCACGAGGGGGCCGAGCAGGGUGCGGCGGCGGCGGGGCGCUCCGGGGAGGUGCGUACUGGGCUCCUUCCCUUCCUCCGGGCUUCCAGAAAUCACCUGGGGACUCUCGCGUCCCGGGUCCUGGGGGGUCGCCGGCCGCAGGGUCCGGCCCCAGCCGGGGUCCCCGCGCCCAGGCGAGCGGGGGCCGGGCCGGGCUGGGCUUUCCGCGUGAACCCGCCCCUCGCCCAGGGCGCCGAUGGUCAGGUGGUUGCCUGCGCGCCGCCGACUCGCCACCGCUCCACUGGGCCGGCACCCAGCCUCUCCUUGGCGUGGCCUCUUCGGUUGUCCAACCCUUCUCCCAGCCCUGGUCCCUCAGAAGGAGGGUAACUCCCUUCCAGAUGUUACGGUCCGCCUGCGUCUCUCAGCACGCCGGUGGCAUUUGGGUUGACCGCGGAGGCCCCCAGUGCCAGAGGGUGUUCACGUUCUGCCGUGGGCUCAGCCCAAACUUUGGACGCUCAGAGACCCAACGGGAGCGCUGGAUAAGGUGUUGACCCCCUUCCCCUCCCCCUUCCCGGCCAGUUACCCACUCCUGGACUUUGAUCUCUCUCCACCAGGCCAGGACAGCUGAUGGUUGUGGCAGAAACAUCUCAAGGUAGCUGGUCCGCCCCCACUUCCCCAUCUACCUCUUGUCCUCCCCCCCACACCACCACCACCCUGGCUCCCCUCCCUCAUGACCGCCUGGAUCCUCCUGCCUGUCAGCCUGUCAGCGUUCUCCAUCACUGGCAUAUGGACUGUGUAUGCCAUGGCUGUGAUGAACCACCAUGUAUGCCCUGUGGAGAACUGGUAUGAAGGACUCUGCAGACAACCUUGCUCUAAAGCUUCCUUCAUCUCUGUCCCCUCUUGGGCCUGAGGCUGCCACGAGCCAGACUGCAACCCUGAGCCUCACUGCUCUUCUCUGAAAUUGGUCCCCAGGCAUGGCUUCAUGCCACCUACCCACUUCCCACUAUCCCUUUGCCCCUUUGGUUACUGCUUCAGGCGGGCACUGGGGAGUGGGAUCUUCUGUCCCUGUAGGGGAGGUCUGGGAGAGAGUCCUCUUUGAGGCCUGAGGCUAUAGGCCAAGGGCCUGGGGGCAGUCCCUUCCCCCAGUCUACUCCCUGUCCUGCCUGCCAGGUCCUACAACGAGUCCUGCCCUCCUGACCCUGCUGAGCAAGGGGGCCCCAAGACCUGCUGCACCCUGGACGAUGUCCCCCUCAUCAGUGGCCCUGAUCUGCCUCCUGCGCUACGGGCAGCUCCUGGAGCAGAGUCGGCACUCUUGGGUUAACACCACGGCACUCAUCACAGGCUGCACCAACGCUGCGGGCCUCUUGGUGGUUGGCAACUUUCAGGUGGAUCAUGCCAGGUCUCUGCACUACGUUGGAGCUGGCGUGGCCUUCCCUGCGGGGCUGCUCUUUGUUUGCCUGCACUGUGCUCUCUCCUACCAAGGGGCCACCGCCCCGCUGGACCUGGCUGUGGCCUAUCUGCGAAGUGUGCUGGCUGUCAUCGCCUUUAUCACCCUGGUCCUCAGUGGAGUCUUCUUUGUCCAUGAGAGUUCUCAGCUGCAACAUGGGGCAGCCCUGUGUGAGUGGGUGUGUGUCAUCGAUAUCCUCAUUUUCUAUGGCACCUUCAGCUAUGAGUUUGGGGCAGUCUCCUCAGACACACUGGUGGCUGCACUGCAGCCUACCCCUGGCCGGGCCUGCAAGUCCUCCGGGAGCAGCAGCACCUCCACCCACCUCAACUGUGCUCCCGAGAGCAUCGCUAUGAUCUAAGGUCUGGGGAGGGUGGCUGGCCCGGCCUCCGCAGCACCCCACCCCAUAUCUUCUUUCCAUUUAUUUUGUACCAAAAACAAUUUUGAGAAAGUAUUCUGUUGGGAUCUGGGCUUCCUCACUUCUGGAGAAGUGGCCAUCCCAUGCCCACCUGUGCCAUAGAGGAGUGGGCCCUGCCAGCUGCCACAGCUGCAUGACCUGCUUCCCCACCCCACGGUGUCAUUUUGUUUUUAAAGGUCACCUGUCCUCACUCACCCAGCCAGCCCUUCAGGUGCCUUCUACUCCCAGUGCCAAAGCCAGACCACUGGGGUUUCCUGCUGCAGGAAUUGGGGGCUGGGAACAGCAGAGGGGAUAGAAGUCUGGUGGAGGUGGAGUGGGCACGCCUUAGCCUACGGAAAGGCCCAUUUCUGGGCCCACUGAGCUGCACGGGAUUCUUCACUCUGCCCCUCACUUCCUUUAGGGCAAAUAACACAGCAGAACCACGUGGGUAUUUUAGUACUUUUUUUUAUAUUAAAAGAAUUCUAAUUUG
rnacentral:sRNA from 1 species